GGGCUUGUGGUUUAGGGGUAUAAUGUUCGCUUCGCAUAAAUAGUGUGAAUUUGCGAAAGGUCCUGGGUUCGAUUCCCAGCAAGUCCA